GAUGUAGGGCGCAAGCGUUGUCCGGAAUUAUUGGGCGUAAAGAGCUCGUAGGCGGUCUGUUGCGUCCGCUGUGAAAACUCGGGGCUUAACCCCGAGCCUGCAGUGGAUACGGGCAGACUAGAGGUAGGUAGGGGAGAAUGGAAUUCCCGGUGUAGCGGUGAAAUGCGCAGAUAUCGGGAGGAACACCGGUGGCGAAGGCGGUUCUCUGGGCCUUACCUGACGCUGAGGAGCGAAAGCGUGGGGAGCGAACAGG
rnacentral:rRNA from 1 species